rnacentral:rRNA from 1 species
GACGAACGCUGGCGGCGUGCUUAACACAUGCAAGUCGAACGGAAAGGCCCUGCUUUUGUGGGGUGCUCGAGUGGCGAACGGGUGUGUAACACGUGAGUAACCUGCCCUUGACUUUGGGAUAACUUUAGGAAACUGGGGCUAAUACCGGAUAGGAGCUCCUGCUGCAUGGGGGGGGUUGGAAAGUUUCGGUGGUUGGGGAUGGACUCGCGGCUUAUCAGCUUGUUGGUGGGGUAGUGGCUUACCAAGGCUUUGACGGGUAGCCGGCCUGAGAGGGUGACCGGCCUCAUUGGGACUGAGAGACGGCCCAGACUCCUACGGGAGGCAGCAGGGGAGAAUAUGGCACAAUGGGCGGAAGCCUGAUGCAGCAACGCCGCGUGCGGGAUGACGGCUUUCGGGUUGAAAACCGCUUUCUCCGGUGACGAAGCGUGAUUGACGGUAAUGAGUAAAGAAGCACCGGCUAACUACGUG